GCCGGGCGCGGUGGCACGUGCCUGUAGUCCCAGCUACUCGGGAGGCUGAGGCUGGAGGAUCGCUUGAGCCCAGGAGUUCUGGGCUGCAGUGCGCUAUGGUGAUCGGGUAUCCGCACUAAGUUCGGCAUCAAUAUGGUGACCACCCGGGAGCAGGGGACCACCAGGUUGCCUAAGAAGGGGUGAACCGGCCCAGGUCGGAAUCGGAGCAGGUCAAAAACUCCCGUGCUGAUCAGUAGUGGGAUCGUGCCUGUGAAUAGCCACUGCACUCCAGCUUGGGCAACAUAGCGAGACCCUGUCUCU
rnacentral:SRP_RNA from 1 species